AAUGAGAAAAUGGCCCCCCACAAAGCUGUGGGCCACUAUGGACCGCCUUCCCAGUGCCUAGGCCCCAAACUUCUCUUUGGGUUUGAACAACACUUCUCUAUCUUAGCUAAUGGAGUCUCAACCUUCUGCCCCUGCCCUUAGGUGUGGGCUUUGCCACCAGACAGGUGGCUAGCAUGACCAAGCCGACCACAAUCAUUGAGAAGAAUGGGGAUACCAUCACCAUAAAGACACACAGUACCUUCAAGAACACAGAGAUCAGCUUUCAGCUGGGAGUAGAGUUUGACGAGGUCACAGCAGAUGACAGGAAGGUCAAGGUGAGUCAGAGAAAGGGGUUUGGAUAGUAAGAAGCUGGUUCUCUUAGCAUCUUGGCUUUUUACCCCAAGGGGCAGGUUCAUAAAGCCUGCUCAGUGCUGGGAUGGCUCAGGGACUAAGUACAAACUCUGGCCUAUUCUCUUCUCACCUUCCUGGGAAGGAUCUGUCAGCUGUCACUGGAGUGGGCAGCAGAGCCAAGAUAUUCUUCCGACCUUGUGUCUCCAGCUCCAGCUGGGUGACCUUGUACACCAAGGUAGGCAGCAGCUCCGAGGACAUCAGUCAUGGCUGUGACCUGAAGUGCUUUAGGAGUGAUGCCCAGAAGUCAGUGCCCUACACCGAGGUCAUCCUGGCUCUGGCAGCAAAGGAGGCAGCUGGGAACAAAAAAACUGAGCUCUAUCCUGAGAUUUCCCGUUCUGUAGAUCCCAGGCUAGACCACUGACCAGGACAAACUGUUUCCAGUGCCACCAGCUGACAGGCAGAGCUG
rnacentral:lncRNA from 1 species